GUGUCCUGUCAGCUAUUAGUGAGUGGGAUGGUUAGCCCUGCCUUUGCCGGCCAGCGUGAGGAGGCCGAGUUAGCAGGAGUCCUCACGAGCCUUGCUGCUUACGGAAACCUCAGGCCAGGUGGAGAACACAUCAGGCUCACGGCAGAGGGAAGGACGGUGCUCCCCAGCCACGUCGCUCCUGGGCCUGAGGUGAGAGCCCCCAAAGUGCCAGGUCUCUGCCAGCCCAGGAGAAGCCACCUCGCUGCAGGUCGCCCAGACCUGGUAGGACAUCUUUCGGAGCCGGCUGCCCCAGGUGUGAGUCAUUCCUAGUGUCUCCUCGGUUUCCCUGGGUUUUGCCUGUUUAUUCUGUGU
rnacentral:lncRNA from 1 species